AUUGAACGCUGGCGGCAUGGCUAAAACAUGCAAGUCGAACGCGAAAGCACUUCGGUGCAAGUAGAGUGGCGAAAGGGCGAGGAAUACGUACCUAACGUGCCUUCAGGUAAGGGAUAGCUCAUGGAAACGUGUGGUAAUACCUUAUAAUCUCAGUUUUCCGUAUGGUUGACUGAGCAAAGGCUUGCUGCCUGAAGAUCGGGGUACGUCCUAUCAGCUUGUUGGUGAGGUAACGGCUCACCAAGGCGAAGACGGGUAGCGGGCGUGAGAGCAUGACCCGCCGCAUCGGGACUGAGACACUGCCCGG
rnacentral:rRNA from 1 species